UGUUUGCUAUUUUAGAGCACUUUAACUUCUAAAAUUCAGCUUUUAGUAGAAUAUGCUCAUGCUAACUGCAAAAAAGUAUGUUAUGUCUAUAUUUGUGUAGGCUUAGGAAGCACAUGGGAGCAAGUCUUCUGUUUUUAUUUCUCCUCACUCAUUUCUUCUAAAUGACCCUAGAAUAGAGGCUAUUCUCUAUGCGGGAAUUAGUGCUACCUUUGCCUACUUACAGUUGGAAAAGUAUCUAAACCUGGAUUAGCACAAAGGCUUGGUUUGGGGACUAUUCUGCCAGUUGCGAAACGGAAAAGAAAAGGAAUCAGGUUGGUUCAAAUAUACACAUAACAGUGAGAAAAUUAGAAUACUUACAGAAUUCGAUUAUUUAGUAACGUGGAGGCCAACUGGAAUUAGAAUAAGUUCUUCACUCUUCUACCCCAAUGAUCUAGUCUUCAUAUAAAAGCUGAAGUGAUUUUUUAAAAAACAUAAAUCAUGUUUUUUACCCUGCUCAAAACCCUCCAGGCUUUCUAUCACACCUAGAACCAAAUCCAGAAAUAUUAUUCACUGAAAUUUAUAGGCCCUGUAAGACCCAGCUUUUGAAUAUAUCUAUUCUUCCCUUUCCCCUCUCAAAAUGUGUCCCUUUUAUAAAGUGUAGCUGGCUACACUUCCAUUUUUUCUGUUCCCCAAACUUGCUAGAUCUCUUUAUUAUUUUAUUUUUAAGUCUUAUGUGAAGUCAGUUAAAUUUUUACAAAGAAUUGUUACCACUUAGCUCCUUGCUUUUGAAUGUCACUUUUUCCAUAUUACCAUCUUAUUAGUUAAGUCCUUAGCCUAUGGGAGGAUCUUAAACAACCCACUGAGGACUUUCAUCUAUUAAAUGAUAACCCAAGAAAAGCUGAUAUACUGGAUUUUUCACUAUGUGGAAUUUUAUUGUCAAGUCAAUAAAAUAUUCUUACUGUAAGCAAUCUGAGGGGGAAAAAAGAACUGUAAUCAUUUAUGAAGAAUUUAUAUGGAUAUGCACAGGACCUAAAAUAGCCAAGACAGUUUUUAAAAAGAACAAAGUUGCCCUAACUGGUUUGGCUCAGUGGAUAGAGCGUCGGCCUGGGGACUGAAAGGUCCCAGGUUCGAUUCCGGUCAAGGGCAUAUACCUUGGUUGUGGGCACAUCCCCAGUAGGAGGUGUGCAGGAGGCAGCUGAUCGAUGUUUCGCUCUCAUCGAUGUUUCUCACUCUCUAUCUCUCUCCCUUCCUCUCUGUAAAAAAAUCAAUAAAAUAUAUUAAAAAAAUAAAAAAUAAAAAGAACAAAGUUGGAGUGCUUACAUCCUUUGACUUCAAAACUAUACAAAUACAGUAAGCAAGGGACUGUUAUUUGCAUAAAGAUAGGCAUAGGUCAGUGGUAUAUAAGAGAAUACAGAAAUAGAUCUAUACACAUAAGUUCAAAAGGCUUUUGAUAAAGGUAACUCAAUGAGUAAAGGAUAUUCUUUUCAACAAAUGGUACUGGGACAGCCAGAUAACUAUAUUCAAAAAAUUGAACCUUGACCAUUCUAUAUACGGAAAUUAACUUGAAUGGACCAUAGACCUAAUUAUAACAGCUAAAACUGUAAAACUACUAGAAAAAAUACCCUGGAGAAAAAUCUUAAUGGCCUUGAUGUUUGUGAAGAUUUUUUAGAUAGAACACAAAAAGCAUGAACCAAAAAAGAAAAUUAAGAUUUUAUCAAAUUACAAAUUUUGAUAUUUCAAAGAUACUUUUAAUAAUGAAAAGACAAGGUACAGACUGAAAUAAAUUUUAGUAAACCAUUACCAGAAAUAUAUAAUCAUAUCCAAAAUAUAGAGAGAAUUCUUACCUAUAAAAGAAGAAAAAAAUUCAGUAAAAAAAAAAAUGAGCUCAAUAUUUGAACAGACAUUCCAUGAAGAA